GUCAUCCGAAGUAGCCACCUCUCCGUGGUGGAUGACAGGCAACGGUCAGAAUGACCGGCUAAGUGCUGCA
rnacentral:ribozyme from 1 species